GAUUUGCAGUUCCUGUAACCCUUGAGCAAUCGUAUCCACUCUAUUGGUUAGGGCAGAAACUUGUGAGUUAAUAUCUGCUGGUUCCAUUGAAAUGGGCUGGAUUAUUCUGUGAUGCUUUUGUGUAAUACCUCUUUAAUUGGAACUCAACUGCAGAAUUUUCUGAGGGCAGGAACAGUAAGUUUCACCUCCUAUUAUAUUGGAG